ensembl:lncRNA
GAGAUGCUGUUAAUUACCACUUGAGUGGCUUGAAACCCUUAUUUAAUUUUAAGAAGAGCAGCAAUAUACAUUACAAUAUUUGGGUACACUUUAUUUUUAUAUGGGUUAACAUUCUGCUAUAUUUCACUUCAUUCGUUCUUUUGAGAAACUGAAAAGAAAGGGGCAUCGGGUUCAUCUGAAGGGAUCUGAGUCUUGCAAUAUCUUAUAAUGCAGCCCUUUCUUCCCAUUAUUAUUUUUAUUUUUUUUGCAAAUAAUCAAGUCAUUUUGACCCAAAUCCAGCAUAAACAGCUUUUCACCAAUUCCGACUUAAGACAACUAAAAUUUACAAUCAUGUGGCAGUAUAAAUUUUUAAAUUACAAUUCGUACAACUUGACAAUCAAUAGAAGUCUGAAGUACAAAAAGUAAAUUGCCCUUUGGCUGAAUUACCUUUUAAAACUAUUAGGCCUGCUAAUGUAAUCUAAAUUAAACAAAACAAAAACAAAACCCUCAAGCCCCCAUGUUCCAGGUGUUCUUUACAUGUCGCCUGUGGAUGCCACCUGCCAGUAAACGACAUAUGCAGGCUCCUAAGAAGAAUUUGCCAGCUACUCAGGACACUCAACAGAGCUCUUCCUAAGGAAACCCAACAGGUUCUACGGGACUUACUGACUUUUGUGUGGGUCUGUUUUUUCCCUUUAUUUCAGAUAUGAGGCACAGACUUCUGAAUUAAGCUCUGUAAGGCAUAAUAUAACCCUCCAUUUACAAAUAGGAAUUCUCCGUGGGUGACAUCAUCUGUAAACGGCACACUGUGAUGUGCUGAGUGACUCAUGAGAUGGGUGCUUGACUUGGUCUGGUGAGGAAAGGUUUCUGUGUUCUGUGUUUUGCUUCUGAAUAAGACAUGCCCAAGUCACCAUAAAACUCACCACAAGCCUCCACUGUCUAGAGCAUCAACAGGAGUCAGUGGCACAGCUUAGAGCGUUGCAAUCACAAUAGAAGAGAGAGCAUGAGUAAACUUUGUUUUUGUACAAAACUGAGAAGCCCUUCCCGCCCCUCACCCCUUCAAUAAAACCCCAAACAAGAAACAACAACAGAAAUUAUUUUUAGCUUCAUUGACUAGUGUGGAUACAAUUAUGUGUCUAGGCAUCACUCCGGCUAGGGUGAUCAAUGUUUUCCUUUCUUAAAAGAAGGGAUUCUGUCAUGCACCCUAGGAUGAGCAGUGAAGUCACAAACUUCAAUUCUGCAUAGCAAGUUCCAUCUCCAAUUCACAAAGACAAUGCAGCGACGACAGCGACCCUUUCCCUGCUUUGCUCAGCGGCUCUGAGCUUGAGAUCAGGAUGACUCAACGACAUCUACUACGGCUCUGUUAAAUAGAUUAGCAUGGUCCCCUAGGACUGUCAACACUUAUGAUCCUGUGAUGAGGUUUUUUCUAUACACUGUAGGCCAUCAAAUGUUACUUUUUUCUUUUUCUGCCUUUUUCUUUUUUUCUUUUUUUUUUUUUUUUUGUUUUGUUUUUUGUUUUUUUGUUUUUUGCUGCACCAAAUUUAAGGUUGCCCUUUCAGGCAAGCAGUGGUUGCUAGCUGAUAAAACAUCUCCUUAGUGGAUCACAAUAGCUUCUAAAACUGCCUUUCUAAUAAAGGCCACCAGAGAGGUAAUGCUAAACUGUGCAUUUGCCAAAUAAGAAUAUGAAUCGUAUAAAAGCUCAUAUUCCAACCCCAGGUCAAAUGGCAAAAGGUCUACAAAGUUGGUCUCUGUGUUUGUAUAAAAGCUCCGACGGAUGUUGUGUAUUUGCUAUGAAAUUACCUUUGGGUCUUAGGUCAGCACACCUCUACUCAGGAAUGUGCAAAUGAUUUUAGACAGCACAAUGCUAGUACCGCUCUGUACGAUAGAUAGUAAGGGUUUUUUUGUUUGUUUGUUUCUUCUUUUCUAAGUGGAAAAAAAUAUCCCUAGUCAGAAAUAAACUGACAAAUUUACAUUCUCCUCUCUUAAAAAAGUAAAUAAAAUAACAUUAUUCAAAAUGUGAAUUAGCUACAAGACAUACAAUACAAUUACAUAGAUACAUAUCGAUACAGCACAUUCAACCUGCCAAAAAAUUAAUGAUUACAAAGCCAGUAUGGAUGCUGCAAUAUCAAGAGAGAUGUAUGUACAACGAUCAGAACAUUCAUAAUUGCACUAUAACCUACAGGCAGUCUGUUAAUUAAAUUACAGGUGCUUUCUAGAGCAAGGGAAUAAAAAGUAAGCUGUGUUGCUUGGGGCUGGGAGAAUAAAGCAUGAGAACACUUCAUUACGUGUCAGCAAUUUCAGUGCUCAUACGGUAAGCUGUUCACUCUCUCCCCCCUUUGUUAUUCAAGAAAGGUGAUUGAUAUGGAAGUUUAGACUAGUGCCAACCACUAAUGAGACCAGCAUUGUGGCCUAACUUCCCGGCAGCCUCAGAGCAAUCACAAUCUACUUAAAUCACAUAGCAACGUGGGCUGCUUGACAGGCUCACUCACACAUGUUAAGCACUGUUUGUAUCUGCUGACAAAUUGCACAUGGAGAAUUCCAAACAUCUCUCCUAGUAUGAUCAUUACAUAAAUACAUGCUUGACAGAACACUGACUGGUGACUUUUGGAUAAAUCCACAAAUCUUCCUUAAGUUCAAGCGACCAGUUCAAGAAGAACCUGAAAGUGGUAAAAUAAGCUCACUUUCCCGCCACGCCCCCCCCCCCAAUCAAAGGUUACAGGAUAAUGCUAUCAACCAGUGUUCUUGGCAGACUCACUCAAACUGAAAGAAGGUAAAGAGCUAAAAACACUGGUGCCAGUAGAGAGAGAUGAACAGAUCUCAUGACAAACCACAAAGGGUAGUUUUUUAUACUGCUCAUCUGGACACUGGCACUGACCUUAAGGGCAAAGCAAAGAACAGACCAUGAGAAGCAGUUCUGUUAGCAACUGUUUGGCAAUGUGUGUUUCCGGUCAUCUCACUGUACUGUCUUAAUGCUUACAUUUUGAGACGCUGGCUUUUACUGUUUAAAUUAAUUUGUUUUUUGUCUCCUAAAAAUAUGGCUUUGGCAACACAUACCCAUAGCAAAAAUUAUUUUAAAAUUAUGGCCCAAACACAAAGGGGGCAGGGGGGAAAGAAAGCUGGAAACAAACAGAGAAUGAAGAAGCUACAAGAGGGCUCUGGCAGCAGCUGCUGGGGAAUGUAGUGUCUGUUGGCAUAUCAUUUGGCAUCUGUGGUUUACAGAGAGGGUGAGAACCUACAGAGAAAUAAAAGGGAGCAAGGAAGAGAGGAAGGACAUGGCACACGGGUUGUAGAAGCAAGGACUCCUUUACAGCCUGUACCCACACUCUGACUUACAGACAUUCUCUGAACAAUUCAGCUAUGGCUGAAGGUCUGCACCCCAAAUGUAUGACUCUUAAUCAUCAAUGGGCACCCACUGUCUUAGUCCAAGUGAGACAAGACA